UCACCAGGACAUGCUGUCCCCACGAGCCCUCCCCUCAGAGGCCAGCGCCGUUCGCACCUGUCGCAGGCCCUCGGCCUGCAUGGUGAACUUGGCCUCUGCCAGCUCCAGGUGUUUCUUCGGGAGGAUCCAAGUGAAGUCAAGAACCUGCAAGCCUCGCACACCGCUGUGCCCCGAGGCUUGGUCCCUAGCCUUCGGGUCCGAUGCUCCACCCACGCAAGCGCGGCCCCGCCCACAGCCAGACCCCGCCCACAGCCCCGCCCAAGUACCUGCAGUGCCAUAAGCUGAGUCCCCAGUUGCUGAUCCGCUCGCUGUUGACUCAGCUGUUCUCCUCCAUAGUAGAAAAGCUGGGAACGGAGCUUGUGAGUGCCUGGCUUAUGGGACUUGGGGGCGAGGACGUGACCUGAGACCCUCUGUACGUACCUGGCUGGACAGCUCCUCCCACUGUUCCUGCAGCUUCCGAUUGUGUUGCUCCUGCGGACAGGGUCCAGGCUGUCUAUGCCUCUCCGCCCGCCUCGCCACCCCGGGCCCCGCCUCCUGCUCUUGCCCGCACCAGGUCCAGCCGGUGCUGCUCCGCGGCCUCCAGCAGCCCACGAGCCCGCUCCGCGCGCUCCCGCGCCGCCUCGCGCGCCUCCCCUCGCAUAGCCCGCGACGCUUGGCUUCGUCUCCGCUGCAGGCUGCCGGGCGGGGCAAAUUGGCCAAUGAUGAAACUAGGGCGCAGGAUCCUCUGGGAAGGCUCACCGCCAGCCUGAGCGUUCCAGGCUGAGCUCCCACCGCCCGGAGCCGAGACUGCCAACAAGCCUGCCCUGGGGCCUCGGUGCCCUCGCACCUGCGCUCACGCUCGCGCAGCUCGUCCAGGCGCCCGGUGAGGCUCUCGCUCUCGGCUUCCAGCCCACGCACCAGCUCCUCCAGCUCCUGCUUCCGCAAUCGGCCAUCGCGGUUGUCCUUCUGCAGCUGCAGCAGCUGCUCCUGCGCCUCAGCCAUAACUCCAGCACUCUGCCGGACCUCCGCCGCCGGGGCGAUCCGGUGGCCCGCGUCACAAUGGGCAGCAGAGGGCGCCAGAGCCCGACCCGAGAGGGGUCACGCCCAAUCAAUUCAGUAAUCUGAAUGGGUCCCCUCUGAGACCUCCCUGGGAUCUCCAAUCUCAGGCUCCUGGGCCAGCCUUUGAAGAUAACAGCUUCAGUCCUGCCUGUGACCAUUGGAAAGAGUAACAUUCAACUCCACUUUAAAGAACCAAGGCAGUGGUAGCGCACGCCUUUAAUCCCAGCACUCGGGAGGCAGAGCCAUGCGGAUCUCUGUGAGUUCGAGGCCAGCCUGGUCUAUAGAGCAAGUUCCAGGACAGGCUCCAAAGCUACACAGAGAAACCCUGUCUCAAAAAACAAACAAACAAAAGCCUCAGGAAGUCCCCGAGGCUGACCAGAUGCUCGAGACAGAGACCAGCCAGCUACCUGAAGAGGUUCUGACUAACUAGGCUUCCUAGACCCCUCCCCUGUGCCAAGCUGCCUGCAGGCUGUGCGCAGGUUUUCAGCUCCCUGGGGGCAGGGAACCCAAAUAAAAGCAUUGGUUCAACAA